UACAGAGGUCUCAAGCGUUGUUCGGAUUCAUUGGGCGUAAAGGGUGCGUAGGCGGCCCUCCAAGUCGGGUGUGAAAGCCCACGGCUCAACCGUGGAAUUGCACUCGAGACUGGAGAGCUCGAGGAUGGGAGAGGAUGGUGGAAUUCCCAGUGUAGAGGUGAAAUUCGUAGAUAUUGGGAAGAACACCGGUGGCGAAGGCGGCCAUCUGGACCAUUUCUGACGCUGAGGCGCGAAAAGCGUGGGGGAGCAAACAGG
rnacentral:rRNA from 1 species